rnacentral:lncRNA from 1 species
GCUAUCUGAGGAGGUAAUUGGCAUGAGCAAUGGUCAUCAAUCAGUGCUUCCAGCGUUUGUAGGUUUUAUUGUUUGCCAAUGGAAGAUGGGAGUUUGAAAAGAUUGGUGUUAGACAAGCCUAAGAACUUGAGGUGUACCAAAUUGCCUAUAGCAUCAGGUAGAUAUUCUGCAAGUCCAGCACAUAUAAAUGCAGGAACGUUGUACAUAACUUUAUAAACUUUUUAUCAUCCAAGUGCUUAAAUUUUUUGUCAAGGAGCAAUAUUGACCUUACCUUCAAUUUAGAAAGAUCAAGUGAAAGAUACCUUUGAGUUUGUGUGUGAAUAGCAUGUCGGUGACGAAAUGGGGUGACCAAGUUUACUCUUGGAUCAUAAAUGUCAAACAAGUUAACCUCCAUGGCUUUUUGUACAGCAAGAUCCCGUAGUAGGUCGUGUAUCCUACAUGUAAGAAUUUUAUCAAAGAAUGUCUCCGCAACUUGAAUCAAGCUUCGACUUAUUAGCUCAUGUAGGAAGUUUUCAGCAAUAACCUCCAUAUGUUCUCAAAUUCUUGGUAUGAAUCCCUCUGCCAGCCACAGGCGCAUCAACUUUUCAGCGUCAAUCACAUGAUCUUCUUGGAAACUGCCAAUGUAUAGAAAGCAUUGCUUGAGCUCAAAUGACAAAUCAUUGUAGCUCAAUGAUAGGAUGUGAGAGAUCUCAACAGAGUCGUUCUUCAUAUGCUGCCAAAGAUGCGUCUUCACCUUUUGCCAUUCAUCCACCCCCUUUCUGUAGGAAAGUAGCCCACCUAGUACCACAAUGGCAAGUGGUAGGCCUCUGCACUUCUCCACCAUUUCCGUAGCUAGCCUUUUCAUUGAUGGGGAAAACAAGUCAGCACUAGACAUCUUAUUCUCUGGAUGUAGUUUCUUGCAUAAAAGGUCCCAACUUUCUUCUUUAUUUAGAAAACGAAGUUUAUGCGAGAAACCUUUGUCAUCAACUCUUUCAGCCACGUCCUCCUUUCGUGUUGUAAGGAUAACUCUACUGCCAUUGUUGUUAUCCGGUAAGGCUCUUUUUAGGCUCUCCCAAGCUUCUCGAUGCCAUACAUCAUCAACCACCACAAGGUAUUUUCGCUCUUUCAGUAGAUUACGGAGGUGAGUUUCUAGAUCUGUCUCCGUCAUCUCCUUCAGCAAUUUUAGCAUUUUUUCAUGGUAACCUUGGAUAGAUUUUAUGAUACUCCGAAGGAUACUAUACUGUUGAGAGACGCAUAUCCAAGCACGAGUUUGAAAGAUAGCUAGUAGACCUGGGGAGUUAUAUAGGUUUCUUGCGAGAGUGGUCUUUCCCAACCCACCCAUACCAUAAAUUGAAAGGACAUUUCGACGAGACUACUUUUUGAGAAUUUCAUCAAGUAGUCUUUGAAAGACCUCUUGAAAGCCAACAAAGAGUUGAUCUUUCUCUGCAUAGGACACUGCUCUCCUCAAUGUUCUUAUUAAUGAGGAAGACGGAUCAUUUGGCCUAUUACUUGGCCCUUCUCUAGCAUUAAUAUUCAUAUAAGUAAUACCAUAGGUAUCUCGUUUUCGAGAGAUAUCCAUGACUCUUUCCUUGAGGGACUGGAUUUCCUUCCCAAUGUUGUGGAAUUUGGCCUCUUUCUGAUGGAUGCAAGAACAAGCCUUGAGACGAUCAACAAAUCCAACAGCAUAAUCACCAUCUUUUGCCGCAUCCAAACUGUAUGCUUCUAAGAUGUACACAGCUUCAUUAGCAACGGACGUGAUUUCAAAUAUCCAUUGCUGCACGAGGUUAUCUUGUUCUUGCUUUUUUUGGGCAUCUUUGAGGAAAGCUUGCAUGAAAGACAGUUCAUUUCUCAGCCAAAGAACGUUCUCUCUCAGACUUUGGCGCAGGGAAACUUCCUCUAUGAGGAAAUCCCCCAGUUUUUCAUCUGCAUAGGACACAGCUGCAUCGACCAUCUUGAUGAUCUUGAGGAGAAUUUUCCACUAUAACAAGGAUAAAAUGUAACAAACUCAAUAACUAGACCAAUGCAAUUCAAACUAAAACAACCGAUAGAUAUAUUUCACUAACUCGUAAUGAAAUUACAAAGGAAUCCAAGUAGUAAAAAUGGAAAUUGAAGAACUAGAAGAAAGGGAUGAGAGUCAGAACUGGUCAAAGAAAGGGGAUGAGGAAUACAGAUACUCCAUAACAGUUUUGCCUAAAAACCCUUCUUUCUCAUCCUUCAUCUAAUUAACUAGUUGUUUAUUGGGCCCGGGUCCCAAACCAACCUUUGUGAAGGCCUUCUAAUUUUGCUGCUUCUUUUCGGCUUAAUAACUAGUUAUGUGGCCUCCGUAUAGGUAUUGACAUUGGGCCGAGGCUGGUUCAUAACAAUACUCCCAUCCUCAAUAAGAACCUUGUCCUCAAGGUUCGAGUCGAGAACAAUGUUAGUAGCGUGCACCCGGAAGUUGUAGCGAAGAGAAACAAAUUGUUCGAGUGCAAGCAGGCUCUUUCCAAACACAACUGUAGUGUAAGCUUUAGCACCCUUGCGGAGACGUGCAUACUCAAAAGGAGAAUACAUGACCCAAGAAGUAACCAAGUCACUGACAUGUGCCUUGUCUCCUCUGUAAUUAGUGACACCAAAUUCACUGAAGGGUUAUGCGCAAGACCUUUCCAUUGCAUAGCUUCCUGAAGCUUAAAAACAUAAGCACAAUCUGGACCAAUGUGUUCAAUUAGUGCAUUCCACUGCCUUUGCCAUAUAUGUUGCACUAGACUGACAUGAUUGAGUGCUAAGAGAAACUCCAAGGAACUAUAAAAAUGUUCCGAUGCAUCAGUGCCUACAUGUUUCCGCCCAAUACCAUAAAUUUGUUCAUUUCACAAUGUAACUAUGCAAAAAUAAGUAGAAACAAAACUACUAUUUGGAAACAUAUUCCCACUGGCACCACAGGAUAGAGUAAUAUCAUGUAUACCAGGGUCAAAAGGACGAUUUGUAAAGGUGAGAGAAACAAUGAAACCUGGUGAGAAAUAAGAAUAAGGUUGAAGAGUCAUGCUCCAGCCAAAAUUGGUGUUUGGCGAAAGGAUGUAUAGAGCCUUUGUGAAAUUAUUGCACACAAAAUAAGAAGUAGAACUCAACAUCAUCCAUUUGUUCUGCCUUCGUGCAGCCCCUCAACUGGUUCCCCACUAGCCACUCCAAUAUCUUGAUACCAAGAACCCUUGGAUGUGGCUCACCAGCAUUUUGAGUAGCAAAUUGUGAGCAACCCAUUCCCAAGCUGUGUUUGGGCCGAGAAGUAUGUUGCCCAGUGUCAAACCAAUCGCAAGGGGUUAAGCCAUUUUUCACGCUCACACACAAUGCUAGAUCCCUAAAAUCAUGAGGCAUCAAGGGCAAACAGAGCUGGGCGAAUAGGCAUGGGUAAAACUCGACAAUCACAUUAUCUUCUAUAGGAAUGAUAAGUGAAGUCUCUACCUCGUUUUUGUCUUUAUUUUCAACAAUAACAGCAUAGUCAUUGGCCACAUCACACGGGAAAAUAGGAUGUUCAGGAUCAGUAGGGAAAUGUGUGUCAAUAGUAUAUUUGGUCAUCGUACGCAUCUUAUGUGGUUCCAGUAUAGCACCUUUAGACCUAUCAGAAAAUUGAUCAAACACCUGACCUGCAUUACUUUCGAAUUCUGAUAGCUUAGCAUAAUGUUGUGGCAAAAGUGAGUUGGUUAUGUUGCUCCCUCUCACAGACUCAAGUUCUUUUGGUUUAAAUCGAAUUCUCACCUUAGCAGCAAAAUGUGGCCAAUCAAUUAACUGAUUGUUCCUAAAUAACCAUCGGUACCAGUCUAAUGCUUCACCAUCAAGGUAGAAUGAUGCCAUGGUAAGCUUUUGAUCUUCCUCAAUAUUGUAGAAAUCAAAAUAAUGCUCCACUUGGGCUAUCCAAGCCUCCAGAUUCUCACCUCGAAACUGCCAUAAUUUAGCAUCCAUAACUGUGUUUGGGGGUUGAAAAGAGGUUGUAACAUUUUUCCCCAAAGCCUCCAGCAGCACGGAACGAAAUUCAGCGAGAUCUUUAGAGGGUUGGGGAUACCAUGCACACUGAGUCUGCAAAUAAUUUAUAACAUUAGAUGAAAUAAGUAAUUUGAUAAAUAAUAUAAAGAAUUAAUCUAUGUGUAUGUAACAAACUCAAUAACUAGACCAAUGCAAUUCAAACUAAAACAACCGAUAGAUAUAUUUCACUAACUCGUAAUGAAAUUACAAAGGAAUCCAAGUAGUAAAAAUGGAAAUUGAAGAACUAGAAGAAAGGGAUGAGAGUCAGAACUGGUCAAAGAAAGGGGAUGAGGAAUACAGAUACUCCAUAACAGUUUUGCCUAAACCCUUCUUUCUCAUCCUUCAUCUAAUUAACUAGUUGUUUAUUGGGCCCGGGUCCCAAACCAACCUUUGUGAAGGCCUUCUAAUUUUGCUGCUUCUUUUCGGCUUAAUAACUAGUUAUGUGGCCUCCGUAUAGGUAUUGACAUUGGGCCGAGGCUGGUUCAUAACAUAAAACUAUUAUGUUACUUGACAAUAUGAUUACACAAUCUGUAAUGAUACACAAACAUCAGUAUUAUAAAAGUGUUUCUUGCACUACAGUGGUUGCUUGAUGACGUCACCGUUGAAAUAUAAAAUUAAACCUCGAAGAUGAGUCAGAAAAUUCCAGCUGGUUAUGAAAUCCAAGGCUAUCACCUCCCAAGUUGUUCUCUUCUUAAUCAUUCUUGGCGCAUAAGAAUCUAUAGACCAAGUUAACAACAACAAUAACAUACCCAGUGUAAUCCCACAAGUGGGGUCGGGAGAAGGUAGAAUGUACAUAGACCUUACCUCUGCCUUUCUUGGGUAGAGAGUAAUCUAUAGACUAAGUCUAUUUGCUUGAAUUAGUUAAUGCUGAAACUGACAAAAAGUCCGCAACUUUAGAAAGAUCCUCUGAGGAUCCUAUGCAUUUUGCAUUGCUUAAGAGACAACUAUGGGAUAUUAUAAUGGAAGGUUAAUUAGUUUAUGUCCAUAACCAAUCAUUAUUAAUUAGAGCCAAACAGAAAAAGGCAAAAUGGGUGAUUUAAAACAUGGAAGGAAAACAAGGAGCUGGUCACAGUAUGCCAACAAAGAUGAUUUCUUUUAUCUUACACUUUGUACUAUUGCUGCCUACACGUUAAACAUCCUAACAUAACAACAAAACAAAAUUCAACAUUCAUUGAAAAUCCCCUGUUCAUAGAAAAGUUGUAUAAGGACAAGUUCUACCUUUGAAGAAUCUCACACACACCCCUUGACAUUUUUGAAGAGUACGAGCAACAUAGCUUUCAGCUAGGAAUGCAUGUUUAACACAGAAUUUCUUUGUGCAGUAGAUUCUUCUUACGUUAUAACUCUCAGGAAUUUGCACAUAACUUAUUUCUGCAUGUAAUUACACAAAGCAGCUAUGGGAUCUCUUUCUUAACAUGUGUGAUGUGCGAUUGGUGAUGCCAAGGAAUGUGAAAGAUAUUUUUGUUUGCUGGCAGAAUCAGGAAGUUGGAAAAAGCUUGAUGAAAAUUUGAAAGAUAAUACUCUUUGCAUCAUCUGACCAGUGAUGUGAAAAUAAGUAAGAAAACAUGCUUCGGACAGUUGAAUCACUUAUAAUUUCAUUCUAGAUACUGUAUUUUGGAAAAAAACGUAAAUUCUCACAUUCAUGGAAAUUGUGGAAGGACUCAUCAUACAUGUAAUUGAAGAGGAAAUCUUUGAGGUUAAGAGAACGCUCACCAAGGAGAUCCAGAAAUGAGUCCAGAGCUAUCAGUACGACAAUCUGAAUAAUUUGUAUUCAUGUAUGCAUCACUCCAGAGUCAAGUUCGCUGCAUGAAACCAUACAAUUGCUAUAGAGAUGAGUCGCAUAUGGUCCUCUAUAAUUUGAGUUAUGUUGGUAGAUAUCUAAUUGGUAAUGAUCCAUCCAUAACUGAUGUCAACAAAGAGAGAUGAUACGAAAAUGGCAUUCUCAACGAGAUCUAUGAGAAAGCUAUACAUCAGUAUGACUUUCUUUUCUUAAUCCUCUGUACAUUAUUUAAAAACAGAACACCACUGACCACACUCAAGUGUUACUGUCUAUAUAUCCUGGAUCUUUUGAAUGACAAAACUAUGUUUCUCAAGUAAUUGAAACCUUACUCCAUGGGCUACCAUUCAGUAACAUUUGAUCAUGAAGAGCUUGUGCACUAAGCAGAACGCACCAAUUCUAGAAAAUGUAUAUAUAGUUAUAGAAAGGACACAUAUUCAAACCUCAGAUACAUGAAGGUAACAGGAACUUAACUUGUCUGUUAGAUGACAACCAUAUCUAAUACAUGGAUUUCGCUUCACUAAGGUCACAAACAAUAACCAACUUUGAAUCAUUUAAGGUAAAUUUUAAAUCAGUAUUUGGUUAUAACAUAACUAUUAGGACAGUUAAUAUGGAUUAGAUUAAUAGACAAUUAAAAACUUGGUGUCAUGAUCCAAUAAGGGGGCGUUGACCGACAUAUAGUGGGAUGACUCCAUUUAUCGAACCAACUGAGCAAUACUCAAAACCGAUAUCUCCCAUUAACUAAAUCCAUAAUUAAAUUAAAUUUUUUUAAAAAAAUGCAUAACAUUUGAUCCAAUUGGCACGAUUAUAUAACAGGAACACAAACGUACAAUGAAGUAACGGAAAGUGUCUCUUGGAAAGCAGGGAUACAAAAAGAGAGGCAGACAAGAGACACUAAUUGUAGGGCUCAAAUAAACUAUAUCUCAAACUAAAACUGCAUACUAAUCAACUCUUCAGCUCAAACUUAUCUCUUAUACCUGCACAGAAGUAAGUAAGAGGAACGAGUUAAUUGACUAAGCAAAAUCUCUAACUGUGACACUAACCAAAUCUACAACUGUGACACAAGAACAAUUUGGAAAUUGUGGAGUAUUUAUAUUCAGCAAAAAUUUCACACAGUAAAACUCAAAUUCAAAGUCUUUUCUAAAACAUAUAUCUCAAAGUCAUACCUCAAAUACAAAAAAUAACAUACUUCGACCUAUGUAAGAUCACAUUUGAUAUCUCAGUCUGUUCCUAACAUGAUAUUAUCGUCUCUAUCCAAUAUAUUUUCACGUCUUCCAGAAUCAAACACCAUCACCUUUUAUACACUUCGUAAGUAUAUACUACAAUUUCUAUAAUUGAUUUAGUUUCGCUACGAAAAUUGAACCCGUUAACUUGCACAAUUAAAUAAUCACAGGAGGAUAUUAUGAGUCAGAAAGUAUGCCGCUUUCCUAAUCUGGCAACUCUUUUAAUUUCGACAUGUCACAUGGCAUAUUUAAGAUCACAACAUUAAAAAGCAUUUUGGUACAUUAUACAUAUCUUUAGUUUAAGACCACAAGAUUCAAAAGUCUUCUUUAUUUUCUUCUUAGACCCCAUGCCAUGUCAAACAAAGACAAACAAAUUAAAACAGAGGGAGUACCAAUUUAGGACAGACGAAGAAUUAAGUAAGUUAAUAAUAAACAUUGGAUAAAAUAAAAGAAAAAUAAAGAACAAAUGUAAAAUAAGGAUGGAAUUUACUAACCUCAAAAGCUUCAGGCAUGCAGAAAGUUCCUAGCUAGUUAAUUUGGGAACCGAUCAUAGUAUUCCCUUUGGCUUGAUUACUAUCAAUCACCGCAAUAUGUUCCAUUCUUUCUGGAAUUUUUUUCAGCUUCAGACACCCAAAUAUACUCAAACUCUUAAUCACACUCAUAGCAGUUGUGUCAAGAUGCCAGCUUUCUAGUUUUUCAAGAUUACCAAGUGUAAGGGUCUCCAGUUGACCAAAACUGUUGCCCUUGCAAGUAAUUUGCUUUCCCUUGUACGCCCAUGAUAACUCAAGAUGCUUUAAGUUUGGAAGUUUCCCCAGAAUUGGCAUUGGAUCUUCCUUAAGUCGUGCACACUCUAGGACUAACACAGUGACGGAUUUUGGAAGCUUGUUUAAAUCUGCUAGUUCUUCUAUUCCCCCUGAUAACCACAAUCUGUGAAGGUUUUCACAAGAAGAAAGAGGUUCAAGGGGAGGAAAAGUUUCACCAUAUCGGCAAACUAGAAACAAGGUGGUGAGGCUUUUCAGACUGCCAAUGGAUUUUAGGGAGUAAGAUUUCCUAAUCUUUUCCAUGCCCAAUUCUUGAAGGUUGACUAAACCAGAAGCAUCAGUAUCUUUCCAUUGAUCGCAACGAAUGUACUUAAGAGUUCGUAAAUUUGUCAGCCUGUCAACUUGCAAAGGAACCUCAUAUCGAGAAACUAAAUGUCUCAAAUUUGUGAGCUGGGCUACCUGAGGAGGUAGUUUGCAAGAACAAUUGUCAAAUAUCAAUGCUUCCAGCGUUUGUAAGCUUUUUAGUUUGCCAAUAGAAGGUGGGAGUUCGAAAAGAUUGGUAUUAGACAAGCCUAAGAACUUGAGGUGUACCAAAUUGCCUAUAGCAUCAGGUAGUUCAUUCCCAUCAAAAAGGAUAUUCUCCAAGUCUAGCACAUAUAGAUGGGGGAAUGACAUACAGAACGUCAUGAACUUCUUACUAUAGUCAAAGUUCUUAAACUCGUUAUCAAAGAACAAUAUUGACCUCACUUUCAAUUUAGAAACAUCAAGUGACAGAUACCUUUGAGUUUGCGCGUGAAUAGCAUGUCGGUGACGAAAUGGAGUGACCGAAUUUACUCUUGGAUCAUAAAUGUCAUACAAGUGAACCUCCAUGGCCUUUUGUACAGCAAGAUCCCGAAGUAGGUCAUGCAUCCUACAUGUAAGAAUUUUAUCGAAGAAUGUGUCGGCCACUUGAAUCAAGCUUCGACUUAUCAGCUCAUGAAGGAAGUUUUCAGCAAUAUCCUCCAUGUGUACUUCUCUCAUUCUUGGCAUGAAUCCCUCUGCCAGCCAUAAAUGCAUCAACUUUUCUGUAUCAAUCAUUUCAUCUUCUCGGAAAAUGCCAAAGUACAGAAAACAUUGCUUGAGCUCAAAUGACAAAUCAUUGUAGCUCAGUGAUAGGAUGUGAGUGAUCUCAACAGAGUCAUUCUUCAUAUGCUGCCAAAGGUGUGUCUUCACCUUUUGCCAUUGGUCCACCCCUCUUUUGUGGGAAAGUAGCCCACCUAGUACCACAAUUGCAAGUGGUAAGCCUUUGCACUUGUCCACCAUUUCCUCAGCUAGCUUUUUCAUUAAAGGAGAGAACAAGUCAAUACCACCCAUCUUAUUCUCUGGACAUAGUUUCUUGCAUAAAAGGUCCCAACUUUCUUCUUUAUUUAGAAAACGAAGUUUAUGGGAGAAACCUUUGUCAUCGACUCUUUCAGCCACAUCCUCUUUUCGUGUUGUAAGGAUAACUCUACUUCCAUUGUUGUUAUCCGGUAAGGCUCUUUUCAGGCUCUCCCAAGCUUCUCGAUGCCAUAGAUCAUCAACCACGACAAGGUAUUUGCGCUCUUUCAAUAGAUCACGGAGGUGAGUUUCUAGAUCUCUCUCUGACAUCUCCUUCAGCAAUUUGAGCAGUUCUUCACUGCAACCAUGGAUAGAUUUUAUGAUACUCCGAAGGAGAUCUGGGGUACUAUACUGUUGAGAGACGCAUAUCCAAGCACGAGUUUGAAAGAUAGCUAGUAGACCUGGGGAGUUAUAUAGGUUUCUUGCGAGAGUGGUCUUUCCCAACCCACCCAUACCAUAAAUUGAAAGGACAUUUCGACGAGACUACUUUUUGAGAAUUUCAUCAAGUAGUCUUUGAAAGACCUCUUGAAAGCCAACAAAGAGUUGAUCUUUCUCUGCAUAGGACACUGCUCUCCUCAAUGUUCUUAUUAAUGAGGAAGACGGAUCAUUUGGCCUAUUACUUGGCCCUUCUCUAGCAUUAAUAUUCAUAUAAGUAAUACCAUAGGUAUCUCGUUUUCGAGAGAUAUCCAUGACUCUUUCCUUGAGGGACUGGAUUUCCUUCCCAAUGUUGUGGAAUUUGGCCUCUUUCUGAUGGAUGCAAGAACAAGCCUUGAGACGAUCAACAAAUCCAACAGCAUAAUCACCAUCUUUUGCCGCAUCCAAACUGUAUGCUUCUAAGAUGUACACAGCUUCAUUAGCAACGGACGUGAUUUCAAAUAUCCAUUGCUGCACGAGGUUAUCUUGUUCUUGCUUUUUUUGGGCAUCUUUGAGGAAAGCUUGCAUGAAAGACAGUUCAUUUCUCAGCUUUCGUGUUGUAAGGAUAACUCUACUGCCAUUGUUGUUAUCCGGUAAGGCUCUUUUCAGGCUCUCCCAAGCUUCUCGAUGCCAUAGAUCAUCAACCACGACAAGGUAUUUGCGCUCUUUCAAUAGAUCACGGAGGUGAGUUUCUAGAUCUCUCUCUGACAUCUCCUUCAGCAAUUUGAGCAGUUCUUCACUGCAACCAUGGAUAGAUUUUAUGAUACUCCGAAGGAUACUAUACUGUUGAGAGACGCAUAUCCAAGCACGAGUUUGAAAGAUAGCUAGUAGACCUGGGGAGUUAUAUAGGUUUCUUGCGAGAGUGGUCUUUCCCAACCCACCCAUACCAUAAAUUGAAAGGACAUUUCGACGAGACUACUUUUUGAGAAUUUCAUCAAGUAGUCUUUGAAAGACCUCUUGAAAGCCAACAAAGAGUUGAUCUUUCUCUGCAUAGGACACUGCUCUCCUCAAUGUUCUUAUUAAUGAGGAAGACGGAUCAUUUGGCCUAUUACUUGGCCCUUCUCUAGCAUUAAUAUUCAUAUAAGUAAUACCAUAGGUAUCUCGUUUUCGAGAGAUAUCCAUGACUCUUUCCUUGAGGGACUGGAUUUCCUUCCCAAUGUUGUGGAAUUUGGCCUCUUUCUGAUGGAUGCAAGAACAAGCCUUGAGACGAUCAACAAAUCCAACAGCAUAAUCACCAUCUUUUGCCGCAUCCAAACUGUAUGCUUCUAAGAUGUACACAGCUUCAUUAGCAACGGACGUGAUUUCAAAUAUCCAUUGCUGCACGAGGUUAUCUUGUUCUUGCUUUUUUUGGGCAUCUUUGAGGAAAGCUUGCAUGAAAGACAGUUCAUUUCUCAGCCAAAGAACGUUCUCUCUCAGACUUUGGCGCAGGGAAACUUCCUCUAUGAGGAAAUCCCCAAGUUUUUGAACUGCAUAGGACACAACUGCAUCAACCAUCCUGAUGAUCUUGAGGCUAGUUUUUCACUGUAAUUAGGAUUAACUGCUAUACUUAACUAUAUGAUUGCAAGCAAAUAAGUAGUAUUAUAACUCGAUCACGAUGUCAUCACAGUUUAAGUACAAAUUUAAACCAUGAAGAAGAGUUGGAAAUUUCCACCUGGUUAUGAAAGUCAAGGCUAUCAACUAUCAAGUUGUUCUCAUACUCAAAUUCUUAGCGCGUAAGAAUCUAUAGACUAAGUCACGGUCCUGUAUUUUGCUUGCAUUAUUUAGUGUUGAAAAUGAAAUAGUUGCUUUCACAAAGUUCAAACUAUGGGAUAUUAUAAUGAAAGUUCAAUUAGUUUAUGUCCAUAACCAAUCACUAUGCCAAGCAGAAAAAGGCAAAGUUGGUGACCUAAAACAUGGAAGGAUAACAAUAUGACCAUCCAUUUUACCUUGCACUUUGAAUUAUUGGUAUCUAAAAAAUUCAAAAUUUAUUGCAAAUUCCAUCUUCAUUCAAAAGUUGUAUAUAGACAAUUUCUAAUAUUCCAACUAGUCUAUAAGCCAUAGAUAUUCUCAAAAAUAUUUAGAAAAAAACUUGGCAAAUAUUAUUUGGCCAUUCAACUUGCCAUUAUUUGGCAACUAUAUUUAGCAAACCAUUCAAGACCCACCUUUUUAAGACUCCACCAUUAUUGAAGAGCUGAUCUUGUGUGAGGCGUAGGGUUCAAAUUGCAAUGAACAUUUUUGACUCCCACAACCCAAAAGUAAUUGAAACCCAAACAAUAUUUCAUCAAUCAAAACCGUUUUCAUUGAUUCGAGGAAAAAAUGAUUCAUGUGAGAAUAGAGUACUGUGGUAGUGUGGUUUUUGUACGGACAAAAUAAAGUUCUUCGAUUUUUGAUUUUUUUUCUCCGUCAUAAAAGUACUCUUUGAUAAUCAUUAGCCAAGUAACUGAAAUAUAAAUUUGCAUAACGUGCUUUUAACUUGGCCUUAAUUUAAUCUAUGUGCUUCAACUAGAGGUGUAUAAGUAAACACUUAAAUUUGUAUAAAAUUAAACAACUAACACAUGUAUAUAAAAAAAAAAAAAGUCACUUCCCUUGAGAGGUCACAAAAAACUUCAUUUCUAAUUCACGCCUUUUCAAAUCCAACAGCAUUCAUCAAUCAAAAUCGAUAAAUUCACCUGUAAUAAUGCAUGUUCCACGGCGUUAUUUCUCUGUUUUUGGCAUAGAAAUCCUAUUCGAAUCAUUAGCCAUGUUAAAAAAAAUAUGCCAAGUGGCUCAAGAAGCAUAAUUUUGUAGCUAUGUCGUUUUCGGCACAAGACAAUUUUUGUUGUAAUACAAUAAAUCAUCUUCGACAUGAAUGGACAAGAGUGGGUUAAGCACCCUCGGACUCCAAUCAUAAGUUUGUGUGUUCGAGUCAACAAAAAAAGUAGGAGCUCCUAGUGAAGGGUAGGGGGGAAAUCUUGAACAAGGACAUAUGAGGAUCCAUUGCAGAUACACCUGACAUUCAAUAAUAGCAAGAUUUCUAGGAUGUCAACAGAAUGAGAUGUUAUCCUAAAGGAAUAAAAGAACAAAACUUGGUAGAACUCGAGCGAGUUUAUGAAGGAAACAAGCCCCUUACAAAACAGUGAUGACAUUUAUUUUUGACUAAAAGGUGGGAAGAAUCAUCUAUUAAGUUGGCAUCGCAAUGUAUAAAACUCAUCACUUCUAACAUCUUUAGUAUAUACCACAAACUUGUCCCACCAAUGCGAGCCAUUGUCUUUUCGAGCUUCAUCGUUACUUAAUGGAAGAGUCCUAUCCAAAAAUACAGCAACUGCAGCAGCUAUCGUGGCAUGUGAUGUGAAGAUGACAGAUAUUGCGUCAUUAAACUGCAUUUGAAGAAAACAAACAUUGGUAUGAGGAUGUUUUGUAAUGAUAAUCCUUAAAAGUAACAGAGUUUAGUCAAUGAAUGUUGAGAUUACCCAUCUAGAAUGUGUAUGAAGAGGACCAGUUCCAAUAUGAAGUUUGUUCUAAAGAAGAUGCAGUAUAUUGCAGCCAUGAUUGAUGCAGGUAUUGCUCCAAAUUAUCCUGACCAACAAUAAAGCAUGUCACGACUUAAAUCAAUUCAUUAGCAUUAGCUAGCAUACGUAGAAAUAGAGUAUAAUUUAGGUAGAAAUACAUGAAUUGGUCAGUCUUUUUUCCAUCAACUAAUAAAUUCUUGUCCAUGAAUCAAUACAUCAGCACUAGCAUACCUAAGACGGAGAAGAAAAAACAUAAAAGCAGCAGAUAUUUGCAUGACUCUUCGGCUUCCAACUCUUGUCAUUGCCCAGAGACCAGCAUUAUCCCUGUAAAGUUUUAGCUUAGCCGAUUUUCUAUGUCAACCAUAUUUAAUUAAUGGUAUGUCACAUGAAAGUCGAGCAUAGACGAGUAUAUUUGUAGAAUUCGUACCCUAGGACGAAAUUUAGAAUAAAGGAGCAUUGUAGAGAUCAGAGACUGUCACAUUGUAGCAGUGCAACCAGCCACACCCCCAAAAAGAGCAUUUAGCGAAGUCCCUGUCCCCUGCCAAGAGUUAAAGUUCAGGAGGUAAAUAAAGGUUGAUACAAAGAGGAUAGAAGAGAACAUUUGAUCUCACCAGUCAGCCAACACCCCGUCUGAUGAAAAAGGUGUCACUGGUGCAGUGCUGCCGCUUCCAUAUCGUGCUGAUGCAAGAAAUACAUCAGUUAACUGCACAACAAACGGAUUUAAAUUGAAUUCAAAACUAGAUUUCACUAUGAAAAUGAAAGACCAGAGUACGAAAAACAAUUAAAAAUACUUAUUUCUUGCAGCCUACUUUUUAAGCAACAUUAGAUAUUUGGACUGUUACAUAUCAAUAGCCAACAAAUAAGUAAGGGAUCAGAGAACAGACCUCCACAGAAGCAACAAAAGAAUGAUCAUCCUGGGAAAAGCAUGUUCGUUUUAGUGUUCACUAGCUCUAUACAUCAAACAUUCUUCAAUCCAAAUCAGGCUUCAAGCAUAUAAGGGCAGCGCGGUGCAAAAAGCAUCCCAAGUUAGCAGGGUCCUGGGAAGAUGUAGAAAACCAACCCUAAUGCAGUGGCGGCUUCCACGGCUCAAACCUGUGACUUGCAGGUUUCAAGAAUAUAAUCAAAGAAAUAAGAAUUGCACCUAAGUGAUGCGAAAAUAUGUGAAAGAACAUGUCUCAGUCAGUUAAAAAUCACUUCGAAUUUCAUACUACAUAUGGUACUUCUCAAAAGAAAUAUCUUGGAGAAGUUUGGAGGUCAAGAAAAUCAUCAUACAACAAGGAGUCCAGAGCUAUCAGUGUGUCAAUUCACAUCAAUUGCAUUCUUGUAUGAGACACUCCAGGUCAAGAUACUGCAUAAAACCAUAAAAUUGGAAUAGAAAAGAGACUGCAAACUGAUCACAUAAGAUAUAUGUUUGUAGAUACUGCAAGAACAUUAGUACAUUCAGGAAAUCAAUUAGAGAAAGAGAAAACACUUUUAUUUUGUGAGAAUAUAAAUAAAACUGCAUGAUCACGCUCAAAGUCCCGGACUCUAUCUAUGUCACAUUUUCUGCACUUUUAGUUGCUCAGGACAUAUGUCCCAGCACCUUAAAUAAUAAAGUCUAAUUGGUAAAGGUACAUCCAUCAAUGAUGUCAACAAAGAGAGAUGAUGUCAAAAUGAAUUUCUCAACACGACAUAUGAAAAAGCAAAAACAACAUAAAAAAAAAAAUUGUUUUAAUAGCCUCCUCUGCACAUGAUUAAAGAAGAAAAAACAUCACACACAAAUAAGAGUGUCUAUCCUGAAUCUUUUGAAUGAAAAAGCUAUGUUUAUCUUACUCCAUGGGAUACAAAUUCAGAAACAUUUGAUCAUGAAGAACUGCUUCACUAAGCACUCUAUUCUAGAAAAUGUAUAGUUAUAGAUGGAUGCAUUAGCAGCAUAACAUAUAACAACCAACUUUGAAUCAUUUAGGACAGAAGAAGCAUCAAGUAAGUUAAUAAUUAACAUUGGAUAAAAUAAAAGAAAAAUAAUGAACAAAUGUAAAAUAAGUAUGAAAUUUACACACCUCAAAAGCUUCAGACAUGCAGCAAGUUCCUAACUUGUUAAUGUGGGAACCGAUAAUAGUACUCCCGUUGGCUUUGAUUACCAUCAAGCAUUUUAAUAUGUUCCAUUCUUUUUGGAAUUUUCAUCAGCUUCGGACACUGACGUAUACUCAAACUUUUAAGCACACUCAUAGCAGUUGUGUGAAGAUGCCAGCUUUCAAGAUUGUCAAGAUAUUCAAGUCUAAGGGUCUCCAGCUGACCAAAACUGUUGCCGUUGCAAGUAAUUUUCUUUCCCAUGUAAGCACAUGAUAACUCGAGAUGCUUUAAGUUUGGAAACUUCCCCAGAAUUGGCAUUGGAUCUUCCUCGAGUCCUGUAUAGAAUGGAGACUGUAGGACUAACACAGUGAUGGAUUUUGGCAGAUUGUUUAAAUUUGCUAGUUCUUCUAUUCCCCCUGAUAACCACAAUCUGUGAAGGUUUUCACAAGAAGAAAGAGGUUCAAGGGGAGGAAAAGUUCCACCACGAUUGCAAAUUAGAAACAAGGUAGUGAGGCUUUUCAGGUUGCCAAUGGAUAUUAGGGAGUAAGAUUUCGCAAUUUGUUCCAUGCCCAAUUCUUGAAGGUUGACUAAACCAGAAGCAUCAGUAUCUUUCCACUGAUCACAACGAAUAUAUUUCAGAGUUCGUAGAUUUGUCAGCCUGUUAACUUGCAGGGGAACCUCAUAUCGAGUAAUUAAAUGUCUCAAAUUUGUGAGCUUGGCUAUCUGAGGAGGUAAUUGGCAUGAGCAAUAGUCAUCAAUCAGUGCUUCCAGCGUUUGUAGGUUUUCUAGUUUGGCAAUGGAAGAUGGGAGUUUGAAAAGAUUAGUGUUAGACAAGCCUAAGAACUUCAGGUGUACCAAAUUGCCUAUAGCAUCAGGUAGUUUACCCUCACUAAAAUAGAUGUUCUCCAAGUCCAGCACAUAUAGAUGUGGGAACGUCGUACAGAAUGUCAUGAACUUUUCACUAUUAUCCAAUUUCUCAAAUUCUUUAUCAAAAAACAAUAUUGACCUUACCUUCAAUUUCGAA